UAUUUAUUCUCAACAACUACUUUUCCAAUCAUUUGGACUAAGUCAGAGGCGGGUUGGGAGUAGGGUAAUUAAACCUUGGUCUCCCCCUCUAGUUGGGUGGUUGAAAGCUAACAUUGAUAGUGCUUUUGAUAAGAAUUCAUGUUCUGGCGGCAUUGGGGUGAUAGUGAGGGACUCCGUUGGGUUGAUUGUGGGUGGUUGUUGCUGCAAAGUUAAUAGGAUUUUGUCUCCGACAUUGGUGGAAGCUCUAGCUGCUAGAAGGGCUUGUCAACUUGCUGUGAGUGAUAGCCUUUCUCCCAUUCUGUUUUAGUCUGAUUGUCAGAAAUUGGUGAGGGAUAUUAUGUCUCAAGAGGAGGAUGCUUCACGAUAUGGAGUCUAA
rnacentral:lncRNA from 1 species